CAGUAACCGCUUGGUAUCUUCCCUAGGGACAGAGGAUAUCAGAAUGAUGAUUGUAACUGGCCAAGUGAAAUAUUGUAUUUCUUCAAUGUUUUGCUGCCAGCAGAUGAGCAAUACCAGGAAGGCCAGAGGUCAUAUCCGGAGAAGUUACCUAAGGCCAGGAAGAACCUAGAGGCUCAGAGUGGCCAAGGGUCAGAUCCAUGAAGAUGAGCUGAGAGGGGCAAGGUCAAGCGGCAGAAACUGGGCACUGAGGCUGGGAACAGGAGGCAGGCCUAGGCAGGAAGUUUGGGCAGUGUGAAGUUGGGACCCAGUGGGUGGCCACAGCAAGGAUGGACAGAAGAGAGGAAGGCAGUGCUGACAGUGCCCGGCUGAGAACAGUGAAUAAACUGCACUGAGGAAAGGGUGUCACAAGGGCUCCCCCUCCUUCGAUAUUUGAUCCUGAUGACCUUUAUGCAGGGGUCAAUUUCUCCAAGGUUCUGAACACUCUUUUAGCUGUCAACAAAGCAACAGAAGAUCAGCUCUCAGAAAGGCCAUGUGGACGUUCUCUUCUCUUAGCGCUGCUAAUAGUUCUCAGACAAACCCACAGGGAGCAGUUUCUAGCACAGCUCCAGGACUGCAAAGGCAGUCAAAGCCAGGGUAAAUGACGGAAAAUGGAAGUCACCAGUUGAUAGUAAAGGCA
ensembl:lncRNA